GUUUAACUUGACUGUCUCUUCCCUUGCCUCUCUCCUUAUGGCCACAAGAAGCCUCUGCUCCGAUGCUGCUUCCCUCACAAGCCCACUUACCGUAGCCUUACCUCUCAAAUAGUUCAUCUCACACCAAAAAUACCCAACAAGACGGCUCUUCUUCUUUUCAAAGGCACUGCUAGUGCUUGUUGCGGCGCUAAGCUGGGGAAAAUUACAGUGGUGAUAGCUAUGGGGCUCUCCACCACCCAAAUUGCACCGUUGAGACCCAUUUGCCCAUCAUAUUUCAAGCUUUCCCAGUCAACUCUUUGCUUUUCAUCUCUUGGUGCUCCCUCCCGGCACUUCUCUAAUGCAUUUCACAGGUAUUGGGUGGAAAUGCCUUCAGGGGUAAUAGUUAACCUACAAGCAAGACAUAAGAAGAGGAUAUUGGCUUCCAGAAAUUACACUGCAGCCUCCAAUUUGGAGUUUGCUACGGAACUCUAUCAAAGCACUAGAAGCUCGUGGAAACAAAAGAGUGAAACCUUGCGGGAAUAUAGAAGGUUACAAAAAAGUGAAAGCUUACGGGAAUAUAAAAUUGGAUAUUCUCCAGUUAAAAAUGAGCAUGUGGAAGACUUUAGUUCUCCUUCCGUUGUCCAUGUAACCACGGUUGCUGAUAAAGUCAGUAGUCAGAAACAAGCAUUCUCAAGAAAUGGCAGAGGUCAUAUUGUUGAUAGUAAAGAUCAUGCUGGGUCAGUACCAUUCAGUUCAGAACUAAGAACUACCGGUAGAAGCAAUAUGAUUUUGGGUAAUGUGAAUGGUCAUGCAAUUGAUGAUAAAAGGCCGAAUAGUUUAUCUUUGAAAAAUAUUUCAAGAGAGGGUGCACAGAAAAAUGGAUCUAUGGCAGUAAAGAGCAGUGUAGCGAGCAGUGUAGCUGUAGAUAAUAUAAAUGGUGGGGCAAUUGAUAAGAAAAGGCCUAAUGGUUUGCCUUUGGCCAAAAUUUCAAAAAUGCAUGCACAGACUGAUAGAUCAUUGUCGAUGAAGAUAUUGGAGCACCAGAAAGAGAGAAAUUUCAAUGAAAUUGAACAUGUUAAUACUCUUCUAAUUGACAGUAAACAGACCAACAAAAAUCUUCUUGUGGUUAGCGAUGCUGAAAAACCCUCCAACACCAAACAGGCAUCUUGCCUUCUAGACAUUAAAAAGAAGCUUACUAGUAUAUAUGGCAAAAUUAUGGUUGUUAAUAAUGUCUCUAUGGCAGAUGAGGUUGUAUAUAAGCUUAUGAAUCAGUAUAGGCAUUUUGUCCAUGCAUGUGACACUGAGGUAUGCUCUUUACUUAUAUUAAAUUCUAUUUUCUUUGCCCUUACAAAGCUGCUCAUGCAUUAGCGAGGAAUACUAAUGUAUGCAUUUUAAACAAUUUGUUUAAAGUGGUUAUUCAAGUAUGUAAUGGCAACAAAAUGGUGUCAAAAGAAGGAUAAUGCAUAUUUUGGUUUUAGGAGAAAAAUUUGGGACCAAUUUGAGAUGAAAGUGCAGAUAACUUCGGGGCUUCUUAGUGUUUUUCAUUGUAAUUGAUUGUGUGAUGUAUUAUUAUAAUUUGAAAGGGAGGAUUUCUAGUGUUUGAAUGGACAGAAAUCAAAUAUUGUAGAUGAAAGUGCUUGCAAGAAAAUGUAAAUUUUCUAAAUUCACGCUUAAAGUUCCUUAGAUUUCAUAUUCAAGGUCUCUGGAAUUAUUCCUAAGAUUAGGAUUGCUCCAGACAAUACAAUGAUUGUUAAAAUAUUCUAGAACAUUACAGAUUUCAAAAAAAUUAAACCUAUAAGGACUUGAGUGCCUAAAUAGAAGAUUUAGGAUAAGGAUAUAUCUAUGUUACGGGACUGUCAUUUACGUGAGCAUUCAUUUCUUGAAUGACAAGUGACUGAAGCUUGAAUACACUACCAGUCCAACAAUUGGGAUAGGCCUGGAUUUGACCACUUGGGCCUGAAGUAACCCCUUUUUUUAGUAGUAAUACAUGGACGGCCUUGCAUACAAACCAGCUCAUGAUUCUAUCUUUCGUGUGGGACUAGAGUUGUUACAUGUAGAACAGGAAUGCUAUGAACUGAAGUGGUAAAAAUUGAUAUGGUGUCAUACUGCUCUUAAAAGGUUUAGACUUAGGGAAGAAAAAAUAAGUAGAAGGAUUCUUGUAACCAAUCUCAAUAAGCCUUGUGAUUUAGUUGAAUUUGGCAAGCAACUGCCUAGUUCUUAAUAUUAACAACUUUACAGGUGGCCAAAAUUGAUGUGAAGGAAGAAACGCCCAUUGACCAUGGAGAGAUAACAUGCUUCAGUAUUUAUUCUGGACCAGAGGCAGAUUUUGGAAACGGCAAAUCCUGUAUCUGGGUAGAUGUUUUGGAUGGCGGUGGCAAGGAUCUUUUGGCUAAAUUUGCUCCAUUUUUCGAGGACCCAGAUAUCAGAAAGGUUUGGCACAACUAUAGUUUUGACAAUCAUGUCAUUGAGAAUUAUGAGUUUCCUGUUUAUGGGUUUCAUGCUGACACAAUGCACAUGGCGCGGUUAUGGAAUUCAUCAAGAAGGACUGAAGGUGGGUAUUCUCUUGAAGCUCUUACUGGUGACAAAAGAGUCAUGAGUGGGUUUCACUCGUGCUAUGAAGAGUUGAUUGGUAAAGUAUCCAUGAAAACGAUCUUUGGCAAGAACAAGUUGAAAAAAGAUGGAUCUGAAGGCAAAAUUAUCACCAUUGCUCCUGUUGAAGAGCUACAAAGAGAAGAUCGAGAACUGUGGAUUUGUUAUUCUGCUUUAGAUGCAAUAAGCACCUGGCAGCUUUAUGAGAGUUUGAAAAACAAACUAUGUCGUAUGCCAUGGAAAGUUGAUGGAAAACCAGUUGGAAAAUCUAUGUAUGACUUCUACCAGGAAUACUGGAAACCAUUUGGCAAGCUUCUAGUUAGAAUGGAAACUGAGGGGAUACUUGUUGAUCGGCCAUAUCUUGCUGAGAUGGAGAAGGUUGCAAAAGCAGAACAAGAAGUUGCUGCUAAUAGAUUUCGCAAUUGGGCAUGCAAGUAUUGCCCUGAUGCCAAAUAUAUGAAUGUGGGGAGUGAUACACAAUUGCGCCAAUUAUUUUUUGGUGGGAUCGCAAACAGAAAGGAUGACACAGACAGUCUUCCACAUGAGAGAAUAUUCAAAAUUCCCAAUGUUGAUAAAGUGAUUGAAGAAGGCAAGAAGGCUCCCACAAAAUUUCGCAGUAUUACAUUGCAUAAAAUUGGUGAUUUUCCUGCUGAGAAGUACACAGCAAGUGGUUGGCCCUCAGUCAGUGGAGAUGCUUUGAAGGCCUUAGCUGGGAAGGUCUCUGCAGAAUAUGAUUUUAUGGAUGAUGCCAUUGUGGAUGAUUGUGAGUUAGAGACAAUUGAUGAUUCAGAAACAAAAAUAUCAUCAGUUCUCAACAAUGUAGAUAAAUCUGCUUAUGGAACAGCUUUGCUAGCGUUUCCGAAACAGGAGGAAGGGAUUGAGGCUUGUCAUGCUAUUGCUUCUUUAUGUGAAGUUUGCACUAUUGACUCUUUGAUAUCCAACUUCAUCCUCCCCUUACAGGGGAGUAAUGUAUCAAGCAAGAGAGGACGUGUUCAUUGUUCCCUGAAUAUCAAUACAGAAACUGGUCGCUUAUCAGCUAGGAGGCCAAAUUUGCAGGUUUCUUCCUCUUCCAUUUUCAGCCUCUCUUCUUCUCCCAAUCUUUAUUGCAUCAUUAAUUGGGAACAGAGAUUUCUCUCUUCAGCUGAAUCACCAAAUGAAACAUGACUUCAGUUUUCAAAUUUAUGUUAGCUUCUUAAGCUAAUCAUAGCUUUGGUGAAGUCUGUUUCCACCUCUCUUAUUCUUCUUUCAAUCUUGAUGGAUAUCUUUCCAUUCAUUAAUUGAAAACAUAGAAGAUUUCUCUCUUCAGCUGCAUCACCAAAUGAAAUGUGACCCAAGUUUUCAAUGAAAUAUGUUUGCUUCUUAAGCUUAUCAUAGCUGCAGCGAAGUCUGCUAAUAAUGAAAUGUGAUUGGCAUUGAUUACAUGCUUACUGGAAAAGUGAAAACACUCAAACCUAACGAGUUAUCUUAUUUUCAACUGCAAAAGGUUUAGUAUUUGUCAGCUGUUGUGUGAAGGUCAGCAUGGAGUUAGAUUAAGGAUGAUUCAUUCAUCUUUAUUGGUUAUUGAUUGAUAUUCUAUGAUAUUUUUAGAUGAGAAGAGAGACUCACAUGUUUUCUUUCUUAAUGCAUUGGAGAUAUAAGUGUUAUCUUGUUUUCCAUAAUUCAGAAUCAGCCUGCUUUGGAGAAGGACAGGUAUAAGAUCCGUCAAGCGUUUAUUGCUGCACCUGGAAAUUCCCUUAUCGUUGCUGAUUAUGGGCAGCUGGAACUUAGGAUUCUUGCACAUCUUUCCGACUGUAAGAGCAUGUUGGAAGCCUUCAAAGCUGGUGGAGAUUUCCAUUCAAGAACAGCAAUGAACAUGUAUCAGCAUAUUCGUGAAGCAGUUGAUAAAGGGGAAGUGCUUCUUGAGUGGUAUCCUCAACCUGGUGAGGAUAAACCACCAGCUCCAUUGUUGAAGGAUGCUUUUGGUUCUGAAAGAAGAAAAGCUAAAAUGCUUAACUUUUCCAUUGCAUAUGGAAAAACACCAGUGGGUCUUGCCCGGGAUUGGAAGGUUUCUGUAGAGGAAGCUAAAGAAACUGUUGAUCUCUGGUAUAGAGAAAGACAAGAAGUGCUUAAAUGGCAACAAGCUCGCAAGCAAGAAGCUAGACAAGAUGGUCGUGUUCACACAUUGCUUGGACGGGCUCGCAUCUUCCCAUCAAUGGCUCAUGGAAGUAAUGCACAAAAAGGUCAUAUAGAGCGAGCUGCCAUAAAUACACCAGUGCAGGGUAGUGCUGCUGAUGUUGCCAUGUGUGCCAUGUUACAAAUAUCAAAAAAUGAUCGUCUGAAGAAGCUUGGAUGGAAGUUGCUUUUGCAGAUUCAUGAUGAAGUGAUCUUGGAAGGACCAAGCGAAUCAGCUGAAGUUGCCAGGGACAUGGUAGUGGAGUGCAUGUCCAAACCCUUCAAUGGGAAGAACAUUCUUAAAGUUGACCUAUCAGUUGAUGCAAAGUGUGCUCAAAACUGGUAUUCUGCCAAGUAAGGGCGCGAUUUCAUAGCCGCAAUUGGAGCUCAACUUGUGUUGAAAUCUCAUAAUGAGCUUUCUGAUAACCUUGAGAAUGGGGUUCUGUUCUAGUGAUGUCACCAUUUCCAUUCAAAGGUUGCAUUGAUUGCUAUUCUGAAAUUUGGUGAUGUAGCAGCAGAUUUUUGGCCAACGAUACGGAUGCAAGGAUGCGUCUUGUGCUGCUUUGGUGACUUUUUGUAACAAGAACGUAAGGAAGCUAACAAUUGAAAAUUGCUAUUCUUUUCCUGUAAAAUUUGUGAUGAUAGCUUAGGUACAUGCGCAAUUGUAAUGGUCUUUGAUGAAUGAAGCUUACGAAAUAUUCUCCAAUUGUCUGUAAAUUCAUUUUAAAUUUUUGUUGUUAAAGUUGACCAUAUGAAUCUUUUUUCGCCGAUAAACUCUGUUUGAGAAAGGGAAUAUCGUAGCUUAUUUAUCAUAA
rnacentral:misc_RNA from 1 species